rnacentral:lncRNA from 1 species
CCACGGGCACAGCCGCGCCCAAAAAACAGCCCCCGAAGGUCGGGGUCCCAAGACCCGCCAGCGGAAAAAUGGCCAAAAAACGGGUGGGCUAUAGCCUUGGUGGGGGGCGUGGGCGAAGUUCCUCCGCGGGACUCGGAAUGGCACCAGACUUGGCGGGCGGCCUCCGUGUGCCAAAAAUAGGCCACGGGCACAGCCGCACCCAAAACACAGCCCCCGAAGGUCGGGGUCCCAAGACCCCCCAGCGGAAAAAUGGCCAAAAAACGGGUGGGCUAUAGCCUUGGUGGGGGGCGUGGGCGAAGUUCGUCCGCGGGACUCGGAAUGGCACCAGACUUGGCAGGCGGCCUCCGUGUGCCAAAAAUAGGCCACGGGCACAGCCGCGCCCAAAAACCAGCCCCCGAAGGUUGGGGUCCCAAGACCCCCCAGCGGAAAAAUGGCCAAAAAACGGGUGGGCUAUAGCCUUGGUGGGGGGCGUGGGCGAAGUUCGUCCGCGGGACUCGGAAUGGUACCAGACUUGGCGGGCUGCCUCCGUGUGCCAAAAAUAGGCCACGGGCACAGCCGCCCCCAAAAAUCAGCCCCCGAAGGUCGGGGUCCCAAGACCCCCCAGCGGAAAAAUGGCCAAAAAACGGGUGGGCUAUAGCCUUGGUGGGGGGCGUGGGCGAAGUUCGUCCGCGGGACUCGGAAUGGCACCAGACUUGGCGGUAGGCCUCCGUGUGCCAAAAAUAGGCCACGGGCACAGCGGCGCCCAAAAAACAGCCCCCGAAGGUCAGGGUCCCAAGACCCCCCAGCGGAAAAAUGGCCAAAAAACGGGUGGGCUAUAGCCUUGGUGUGGGGCGUGGGCGAAGUUCAUCCGCGGGACUCGGAAUGGCACCAGACUUGGCGGUAGGCCUCCGUGUGCCAAAAAUAGGCCACGGGCACAGCCGCGCCCAAAAAACAGCCCCCGAAGUUCGGGGUCCCAAGACCCCCCAGCGGAUAAAUGGCCAAAAAACGGGUGGGCUAUAGCCUUGGUGGGGGGCGUGGGCGAAGUUCGUCCGCGGGACUCGGAAUGGAACCAGACUUGGCGGGCGGCCUCCGUGUGCCAAAAAUAGGCCACGGGCACAGCCGCACCCAAAAAACAGCCCCCGAAGCUCGGGGUCCCAAGACCCCCCAGCGGAAAAAUGGCCAAAAAACGGGUGGGCUAUAGCCUUUGUGGGGAGCGUGGGCGAAGUUCGUCCGCGGGACUCGGAAUGGCACCAGACUUGGCGGUAGGCCUCCGUGUGCAAAAAAUAGGCCACGGGCACAGCGGCGCCCAAAAAACAGCCCCCGAAGGUCAGGGUCCCAAGACCCCCCAGCGGAAAAAUGGCCAAAAAACGGGUGGGCUAUAGCCUUGGUGGGGGGCGUGGGCGAAGUUCAUCCGCGGGACUCGGAAUGGCACCAGACUUGGCGGUAGGCCUCCGUGUGCCAAAAAUAGGCCACGGGCACAGCCGCGCCCAAAAAACAGCCCCCGAAGUUCGGGGUCCCAAGACCCCCCAGCGGAUAAAUGGCCAAAAAACGGGUGGGCUAUAGCCUUGGUGGGGGGCGUGGGCGAAGUUCGUCCGCGGGACUCGGAAUGGCACCAGACUUGGCGGGCGGCCUCCGUGUGCCAAAAAUAGGCCACGGGCACAGCCGCGCCCAAAAACCAGCCCCCGAAGGUCGGGGUCCCAAGAACCCCCAGCGGAAAAAUGGCCAAAAAACGGGUGGGCUAUAGCCUUGGUGGGGGGCGUGGGUGAAGUUCGUCCGCGGGACUCGGAAUGGUAGCAGACUUGGCGGGCUGCCUCCGUGUGCCAAAAAUAGGCCACGGGCACAGCCGCGCCCAAAAAUCAGCCCCCGAAUGUCGGGGUCCCAACACCCCCCAGCGGAAAAAUGGCCAAAAAACGGGUGGGCUAUAGCCUUGGUGGGGGGCGUGGGCGAAGUUCGUCCGCGGGACACGGAAUGGCACCAGACUUGGUGGGCGGCCUCCGUGUGCCAAAAAUAGGCCACGGGCACA